UAAUGUCAAGGAAGAGGUCAAAAAAACAAUUGAUUCUAUGGAUGACUUCAAUGACUUAACUUUGUCAUCUGAAACAAUUUCGGAGGAUUUCCACAUGCCUGACUGUCAUCAUAUGGCUUGCAUGUUGCUAACUGAACAGCAUGAUCCUGUCAGUUUAUUGAAAACCCAGAAUGUGGUUCUUUCAUAUGAAAGACUAAUAGAACUUAAACAAGAUCAAUGUGAACAACUUAAAAGAAAAAAUAAA